ensembl:lncRNA
AAACUAAAUAUAUUUGCAUAUAUAUAUGCAAAUAUAAAAAUAUAAAUUUGCAUAAAACAACUGAAUAUUCUAAUAAACAGAAAUGAACAAUGCAAAUGUAAACAUCUGAACAUUCUAAUUAACAAACAAACAAGUGAACAAUGAAAUUGUAAACAAUUUCAAAAAUCUGAACUUUCUCAAAAAACAAAAACAAACAAACAACAACAACAACAAAAACUGGUACAAAUCCUUAAGAUUGGCGAUUGGUGGCAAAGCAACAAAACUAAAUCUGACUUUUUGCAAAUGCGCAUCAACACAGUGCUGCGACUACAUGUUAUGAUCUUUCUCAAAGCUGAAAAUCUUACAAAGGGAUAAAGUUAUUCACUGUUAGUAACCAAAUGAAGUUUAAUUAGACUUGCUGCGUCACAUUUGGAAACGAUUCACAGCACAGCGUCUUUCUCCUGCACACUGUCAUGUAAGCUAUUAUUAACCUGGAGUUUGACAUCUUUGUUUGAAUAGUUGACAGAGUCUGAGCGCUGCUUCCAUUCACUGUCAUUCGGCUCUGUCUCUGACUCACUGAAUAAAUGAACUCUUCGCCUCUUCCCACAUUGUGCUCACGGGUCACUUGUCAAACUCUAAGCAGUCCUGCGAGCAGAAAUAGCCGGGCCGGUUCGCUCUGGCCCAGCAGGUUUUUGAGAGCAGUCCAGCCGAACACACAUCUCAUGCUGAGCAUCUGGAUAAAGGUGAAAUCAUCAUUUCAUAGGAAUCUGCACCAUCUGAAGGCAGAUCACUGUGAACGACCCACAAGAACUGAUUGGUAUUUGUGUGGCGGCCUUUGGCGUAUGGUGAGAAUGAUCUUUCUGUGUUAUUAUAACUGGCAUUUGUCAUAAAUCAGCAUUGAAGCCUCUCUUUGACCCAUGUCUGAGUCCAAUAUAACUGAGAUUUACCCAGCAAGCUGUCCAGCAAACACACCGAGGAGGGCAGUGAGUGAUCCCAUGAAUUCUCAUGCACCGGGCACACGGUUCUGCAUCAAAUCUACUGACUCUGGCACAACUUGAAGAGAAACACGUUUAUACAAAUAAUUAAACCCAACAACAAGUGUUUAGGCUGGAGACCAAACGAGAUGGUAAUGUAUUCCACAUGUUGGUAUCAGGCUUCAAAUACGGUGUUAUAUGAUUGUGCCUUUCAGCAUAUGUCUAAAAAGAGAAGAAAAUACUUGAUUUCCAUUUGCCAUAAAAUCACCAGACACAACAGCCAAACAAGUCAGAAAAACUGGUAGGCCUGCGUUUACAAACACAAUUAUUAUUGAGUGCGGAGCCAAUAAAUCUGCAGCUCAGAGGCCAAUGAUUCAUGAAUCAUUACAAAACGUCUCAGAACGGUUUAUGUGUUGUAAUGUGAAAUAUGACUCGUUUUAUUGCCCAUAUUUACUUCAUACCUUGUCACGUCCUGCGCGUGCUUUACAAAGCGAAUAAUUUAUAAGGUAAGUCUGAUGUUUAUUUUUGACCUACUGCAAUUCAUAUGACUCGGUUAUAGAUUUAAUGUGUAGAAACGUUCACUUAUAACGUUACAUGAUGAGCAUAUAACGAGUUCAACAUCACGUUUCGUCAGUUAAGAGUCAAGAGAAACAAACAACCCGUUUCUUAACUUUUAGACUACUACUAUAGUCGCCAAAUUAUACAUUCGCCGAAGAAAACAAGAAAACGGAGACUAUAGUAAUCAAAAUUAUAUCGGUUUGAAAACAAAUGAAACAAUGCUAAACUCCAAAGCUACAUGUGUCUGUAU